rnacentral:rRNA from 1 species
CUUAAAUUGAAGAGUUUGAUCAUGGCUCAGAUUGAACGCUGGCGGCAGGCCUCAAACAUGCAAGUCGAGCGGAAACAAGUUAUCUGAACCUUCGCGGAACGCAAACGGCGUCGACCAGCGGA